rnacentral:rRNA from 1 species
AGGUCCAGCCUGCCCAGUGACUACGGGUUCAACGGCCGCGGUAUUUUGACCGUGCAAAGGUAGCGCAAUCACUUGUCUCUUAAAUAGAGACCUGUAUGAAUGGCUAGACGAGGGCUUAACUGUCUCCCCCCUCCAGUCAGUGAAAUUGAUCUAUCCGUGCAGAAGCGGGUAUAAUUAUACAAGACGAGAAGACCCUUUGGAGCUUAAGGUACAAAAUUUAACCACGUUAAACGACUCUGUAGAAAGCAAGAACUUAGUGGCGAAUGAAGUUUUACCUUCGGUUGGGGCGACCACGGAGGAGAAAGAAGCCUCCGAGUGGAAUGGGUUAAACCCCAAAGCUAAGAGAUACAUCUCUAAGCCGCAGGACAUCUGACCAAAAAUGAUCCGACUGAUAAAGCCGAUCAACGGACCAAGUUACCCUAGGGAUAACAGCGCAAUCCUCUCCCAGAGUCCAUAUCGACGAGGGGGUUUACGACCUCGAUGUUGGAUCAGGACAUCCUAAUGGUGCAGCCGCUAU